rnacentral:rRNA from 1 species
UACGAAGGGGGCUAGCGUUGCUCGGAAUUACUGGGCGUAAAGGGCGCGUAGGCGGACAGCUUAGUCAGAGGUAAAAGCCCAGGGCUCAACCUUGGAACUGCCUUUGAUACUGGCUGUCUUGAGUUCGGGAGAGGUGAGUGGAAUGCCGAGUGUAGAGGUGAAAUUCGUAGAUAUUCGGCGGAACACCGGUGGCGAAGGCGACUCACUGGCCCGAUACUGACGCUGAGGCGCGAAAGCGUGGGGAGCAAACAGG